rnacentral:lncRNA from 1 species
UCAGUUAAUGGUGUUAGAAUAUUCCGUCAACUUUGAUGGAAUAUUCUCCUUCUUCUCCGGUUGUCCUCCGCCGUCCGUCGUUGUCUGGUUCGCCAGAAACAGGAAAAAAUUUCAGAACAUCAAAACUUCUUCAUUUCUCAACAAUUUUUUAUGCACUUUGUAUGGGAAUGAAGCUUGUGAGGAGUAGAACAAGAUUGUACCUUUCAAAAGUCCAAAAAGUGGACGGAAACAGACUGAAAUUGGCUCAAAAGUCUCGGACGUAAACUCAACAUCUCAAACCCGUUGGUUUCCUCAUUAACUCCACUUCAAAACCAAGCUAACGGCCUUGGGAAGUUGCCUAGAUGUUUCCAAAACUCCCAAAAUCUUAUAACUCGAACUGAAAAACGUUAAGGAAAACUCCACCUGAAUCGGAGCUCUGAGUUGGAAGCUCAAAACUCGUUUAUUUCAUGAUCUGUUCGUACGGAAGGGUUCGUGAGGAUGAGAUUAUCUUGAUUGUGGUAAUUUUAGGCUUGAUCUAUGAAGUUUGAUGGUGAUCCUUGGUGUUGCAGAGAGGAGAGAGUUACAGGUGAAGGAGAGAGAAGGAGAAGAUGAGAAAGAGAGAGAGGUGACAAUUUCUGAUUGGGCAGAGAUGAGAGAUGUCUGAUUGGGUGAAAAAGUGUGGGAAAAGAAAU